UCCGCCACUCAGGCAGUGAAAAGGUCUUUGGCAGGCGGACAUUUAAUGAGAGGACGAUAAGCAAAGGAGAAUAUGAAUAACGUCCGAAUAUGAAUGUGAGAGAAGUGAUGAAUUAGAUGUUAAUUAGUUCCUUUAUAGUAACCACUUUUGCUGUACCAGUUGUUUAAUAGCCCAUUUUCUACUUCAAAAAUGUACAAAAAUGUCCAAGUUGGGUAGACACAGCUACUUUGCAGGCUGAGGCAGAUAGAUGGCUUUGAGCUGAGCUAUACAGCAAGUCCCAGCUCAAACCAAGGUUUUUUUUUUUUGGGGGGGGGGGGGGUGAGACAGAGCCUUAAGAGUCAGGACUGGCUCCAGACCACCUCCAAAGUUGAGGAUUGCCACCUCCUAGUGCUGAGAUGAUUACAGGGGUGCACCACCACACGGGAAAUUUUGCUACCCCAUACCUGUGGAGUUGGGGAUGGAGAAAGGCUCACAGCUUGGAGCCUUCAGUCCAGCUCAGCUGUGUAUAUGGACGAAGAGGCUCCACCCUCCUCUGAGCAUUUCCCAUACUUCUCUUAUGUGAGGUCCUGAAUUAUAAGUGUAGAAACAGACAAGUGUCUACCUUUGUCUUGUCUAUAAUAUCAGAACCUCAAUAAACAGAGUCAUGCAUGAGACAGGCCCUGUAGUUGCUCUAGCAGUGGAGGAGAGAGAGGCUUCUGUGACCAUUAUUAUCUGAGGAAAACCCCUCAAAAUGAGAGGGGCAUGGGACAUGCACCAGAAAACCUAGUAGAAGGAAGGCCUGAACAACUCUACAGUCCAAGGCAGAAAGAUGGAACACUUGAGGCCUGCCAACCCAACUUGGUGAGACCUAUUGUUGGCAUAAAAGUAAGAGGAAGGGACUGGAGAGAGAAUCUCAAACAGUUAAGAACACCAGCUUCCAGAAUCCACAAGGCAAUUUGGACUCACAACCACCUGUAACUCCAGUUUCAGGGAACCUGACACCCUCUUCUGUCCUCUAAGGGCACCAGACACGGGCAUGUUGCACAGAUAUACAUGCAGGCAAAAUACCAGUACACAUAAAAAAUGUAAUUGUUCUUAACAUGUUUUUAAAAGUUAAAAAAAAAAAAGCUAAAGAGGUGAGAACAUAUGCAGCUCACCAAUAGAGCACCCACCUGAAGCCCACCAUUCAAAGUCUAGCUGUGGCUCAGCUGUAGGACAGUCUCAGAAUACCACACUGAGGGGCUGGGCAUGUAGAGGGCAUAACUGAGGGCAGAAGUUCCAUCUCCACACCACAAAACAAGAUGAGCCGGGAAACUGCAGAAACAAAAGAGGAUGCCCACAUCUGGCGGAUGCACCUGGUUAGCAUCAGUUUUACAGAAGUGCAGCAUCCCAGGCAGCAAAGCAUUCUCCCUGGAGACAUGAACACAGGGUGGCCCCAGUGAAUAGGGCUGCCCCACCUGCACCUGGAGAUGCAGCAUCCAGCUGAGAGUGUCCCUGGUCAGGCUUUCCCAUGUCCGAGUGUGAGCUUCAGUAGAAGGAAACAGCUACUCCAGCCUGCCUAGAAGCAGCAGCUGUCCCCAGUCCUAAGGACUGAAAGACAUCCGGACCAGAGGGCACAGACACACACUCCAGCUGGCAGAGGAGCGUCACUUGGGCCCCUGCCCUUUCUGUGAAGACUUGAGUUUCCAGGUUAGAGGAAGAGUCCUCCCUGUGUAAGGGACUUAGCCGACCUGGCUGUACUCCCCACCAUCCCCUAGCUCCCAGAGGACCCUGAACUCUGACAUAGGCAGAACCAAGGCCAGAAAGAAGUUCUCCAACAGAAAAAGGAAGUUCACACUGGCUUUCUGGUGACACACCCAGCCAGAACAUGGGCCUGGUUCAAGUCUCUCGCCCACACAGCCAGUGCACCAGUUUACAGGAAGUGGAGGGGGUGGAGCACAAACUAGAGAGUGACAAGAAGCCACUGGGCUGGAGUUUGACUCAAUGGCAGAGUGCUGGCCUGGCAUGCUCAGAUGUGGGUUCAUCUCUAACAUGAGAAAAGAGUGUGGGGAGAAGUCUCAGUGGGUACACUCCUUGCCCUGUGAAUAAGCAGAUCUGAAUGUGAUGCCAGUCCUGGAAAAGUGACGAGAGGAGGCUCUUAAGGCUUGAUGGCCAGCUCUUGGAACCAGUGAGUCCCAUGCCCCUGAGAAGCAUGUCCGGGAUUGACAGUGUUGCUGCCCUCUGCCCUCCAUUUGAACACACACAUACUCCACUCUGCACCCAAAAGCUGUUGGGUAGCAGAUCACAACCUUGCUUCUGGGAAGGAAGCUUUUAAAGCACAGGAUGUUAAAAGAGGUGAAACAAUAGGGUGUUCUAGCCAGACAUGGUGGCACAUACCUUUAAUCCCAGCACUCAGAGGCAGAGAGGCAGACAGGUCUCUUGUGUAUUCAAUUCAAGGCCAGCCUGAUCUACAUGAGGAGUUCCAGGAUAGAGCUAGGUACAUAGUGAGACCCUGGUUAUCUAGAGGAACAGAAUUUAUAUAUAUUAUGUUAUAAUUAUAUUAUAAAUGAGAUUCUUAGAAUGCCUUACAAGCUGUGGGCUAACUAGACUAACAAUGUUUGUCUGCCAGUAAAAGGUCUAAUAAUCUAGUAGUUGUCAGUUUCAGUAAAUAACAGAUUCCUGAAGAAGGCUCUAAGAAGGAAUGGAUUUGACAGGACAAAAGCAAGGAGGCAAAGACUGAGAGCUUCCUUCUUCUACGUCCUUUAUAUAAGCUGCCGUCCAAGCUGUGUGCAGUGGUGAGUUAGUUAAACCGCUGUGGCUCCCAGCGGGCUUCCGGCCACUGGUCAGAGCCCUCUGGAUUAGAGAAUGAAAAAUACACACACACACACACACACACACACACACACACAGGCUAAUUUUGAUAUGCCUUGACUGCCUCAAUGGCUGGGCAUUUCUAAUCCUCCCCAUGGCUAAUAAACACCCCCCCUCCAGUAUUCCUGAGUUAAUAUCUUUUAAAAUCUAUAUUUCAUCUCUGCUACCCCAGACGCAUCUGGGGAAGUGGCUCUAGGCCCACUUUCCUGGGUUCUUCCAUGCUGGAGGCCUUCACAUUUCAUCUUUUCUAUGUCCCGGCGAUGGCGAUUCUCUCCUCCCUCUCCUGGCCUCUAAAAGGCCCAUCUCUGUCUUUCUGCCCAGCCAUCGGCUGGAUGACAAUUCUUGAUUAUCACCUGAAGCCAGCUGGGGGCAGAGACCCUCAGGUCUGGAAGCUCAGCUUUUGGGGAGCCAAAAUAAGAAGACAAAGCAUUAGAACCUAUCCCUAAAAGCUGUUGCCCAGAUGAAAGGUGCAUCUUUUGACCUCAAAAAAUCUGAAUUUAUCUUCCUGUCUUAGAUUGGAUUAAAAAGUGGUCUUCCCAGCUAGGUGUGAUGCUGCCCACCUUUAACGAGCACUGGAAGCCAGGGACAGGCCUGGUCUAUAAAGAAUUCUGAGGCUGGGUGGUGGUGGCACACACCUGUAACCCCAGCCUGGUCUACAGAGUGAGUUCCAGGACAGCCAGGGCUAUACAGAGAAACCCUGUCUCGAAAAAAACAAAAUCCAAAAAAGAGUUCUGGGACUGCCAGAGCUACAUAGAGGGACCUUGGGUUUUGUUUGUUUGUCUGAUUCUUUUAAAGUGGGUACUCAAAGUGAUUUAAGAAAAAAAAAAAUCACAGGUGUAUCCAAUCACUUGGGUUUUAGUUGAUUCCAGAUGUAGUCAAGUUGGCAACCAAGAAUAGCCAUCAAGCUCACUCUAAAAAUAUGUAACAAGAUGAAAAGUUUUUUAGAAGAAAGAAAAGAAACUGUUUUAAGAGGAGGUGAAACAUUCCAUCUUCCUGGAAGUAAGCAAGUCAAAGGCUUCAGGAAGUCCCUGAAACUGAUUAGGUUCUCUAGGGGCUUCCUUCCCCAAGCUUGUAUAAGUAGUAAGGACAGCUAAGAGAUACUCAGACUAAACAAGGGACUGGGCAGAUGGCCCAGCAGUUAAGAGCAUUUGCUGCUUUUACAGAAGACAUGGUUUUGGUACCUAGCACUUACACGGCAGCUUACAGAGCAUCUGUAACUCCAGUUCCAGGGCUUCUAAUGUCCUCUUCUGAAUUCCAGGAGCUCUGCAACCCACACAGUGCAUAUUCAUGCGUCCAGACACACAAAAUUGCUAAGUUAAAGACCAUGACCUGGGUAUGGUGGCACAUGCCUUUGAUCCCUGAACUUGGGACUCAGAGGCAAGAGGAUCUCUGAGUUCCAGGCCAGCCUGGUCUACAUAGUGAGCUCCAGGACAGCCAGGGCUACACAGAGAAACCCUGUCUUAAGGAAUAAAAAACAAAACAAAACAAAAAAACAAGCUACCUGAAAAAAGCAGAGAAGCUGAGCUGCCUGGAAAGGAUGCUCUCCUACCUGCUGCACUUCCUACAGACCGCAGUGCGCUUCAGGUUCCCAGUUUUGUGAUCUGUAAUUCAUGCUGGGGUGGGCAUUUCAUGGUACAGCUGUCUUGAGUUAUUUCUACUUCUGUGAGUAACUUUACUCCUGUGAGUAACCCCAAUAAUACUCAUUGAUUUACAAAGUU